rnacentral:rRNA from 1 species
GACGAACGCUGGCGGCGUGCUUAACACAUGCAAGUCGAGCGGUAAGGCCCUUUCGGGGGUACACGAGCGGCGAACGGGUGAGUAACACGUGGGUGGCCUGCCCUCAGCUCUGGGAUAAGCCUGGGAAACCGGGUCUAAUACCGGAUAUGACUCCAUGACGCAUGUUGUGGGGUGGAAAGCCUUGUGCGGCUGAGGAUGGGCCCGCGGCCUAUCAGCUUGUUGGUGGGGUGAUGGCCUACCAAGGCGACGACGGGUAGCCGGCCUGAGAGGGCGACCGGCCACACUGGGACUGAGACACGGCCCAGACUCCUACGGGAGGCAGCAGUGGGGAAUUUUGGACAAUGGGGGCAACCCUGAUCCAGCCAUGCCGCGUGAGUGAAGAAGGCC